GAUGAACGCUGGCGGCGUGCUUAAUACAUGCAAGUCGAACGAAGACAGUAGCAAUAUUGUCUGAGUGGCGAACGGGUGAGUAACGCGUUGAUGACCUGCCCCGAAGAGAGGGAUAACAGUCCGAAAGGAUUGCUAAUACCCCAUGUGGUCGUUUGGAUUAGAUGCCUUAUGACUAAACGGAUUUAUUCGCUUCGGGAGGGGCCUGCGUCCCAUCAGCUAGUUGGUAGGGUAAUGGCCUACCAAGGCGAUGACGGGUAGGGGACCUGAGAGGGUGGCCCCCCACAAUGGAACUGAAACACGGUCCAUACACCUACGGGUGGCAGCAGUAGGGAAUAUUGGUUAAUCUGGGAAACCGGGAACCAGCAACGCCGCGUGCACGAUGAAGGCCUUCGGGUUGUAAAGUGCUUUUUGAAAGGAUGAGGAAGGACAGUACUUUCAGAAUAAGCUUCGGCUAACUACGUGCCAGCCGCCGCGGUAAUAC
rnacentral:rRNA from 1 species